ACGGCGCAGCGCGAAUUGAGCGCUUUGAGCGUUGACGCCGAUUCGCGGGAAACGCUCAAGUUGAAAAAUUUGAACUUUGGCGGACAUUCGCGCCGCGUUAACCAAUCAGGAGCUUUCUCUAGUAGUGACGUGAUUACAGGAAGCCAGCAGACGGCGGAGGCAGAAAUGCAAAACAAUGGAGAUCAAUCGUCGUGAGACAUCUUCGUACUUUUUACCGAAACAGGAAUUUAAAAGAUCUUGGUUUGGAAGAAAGUGAGUGAGGAAGAUCGAACAAUCUGGUAAGUUUACUCAAUUUGAGCUAUACAUGUAAGCAAUGUCCUAAUAACUCAAUAUACGGACCGUUUAUUACGUUUAUUACCAAUAUUACCGUUCUUUGGACACAAAGUGUAGUUUUAAGAUUAGUUCAGUCGAGAAUAUAUAUGUACACUAUUCAAAUAUGCAGUCGAUUAGUAGAGAUAGCGCCUAUUUGAAUGUUUGCUUAGACAGAUUCGGGCAUGAGAUCCAGACGAAGCAGGCGAACGUCAGUGUUCUCCUUCCCCGCUGACCACAGCCUGAACUGGGCUAAAUCCCUGAAAGGGAUUCCCUGGCUCUUAUGUAGGCCUAUCUGUGUUUACUGGUCAAAACUAAGAUUUUAUUUGUUUUGGGUUGAUAAAACCAGUAGUAUUUUGUCUUAUGAAUCUAUUACUUGUUUAUUUUAUUCAUAUUUAGUCUUUUUUUAAUAAAUAAUUAAACUAUUUAUAGUAUACACUAUUAAUUUUCCACGUAGUCUUACAUAUUGCCAAGUGAAGCAACACAACAGGGCAUAUAUGUUGUUUUUUAUAAUGAAAAGUCAAAAUUAGUUGUAAAUGAAAAUUAAUUUCUCUCUGACUAAUGUAAUGUGCCAUAUGUAUAAUGUUGUAUUAAUAUUUCAUAUUGUCAUUACAGAGCCGACUGUUUUUUUUGAUGGUGGUGAGCCUGUGUCCCCUCUGAACCUGCUGCUGCUUCUGCUUCCCAUGCCGACCCAUCAACGUCUGCAGCUGUCCCCGCAGCGCCACCAAGAUGAAGAGCUCAGAGAAGGCCUAGAUAGCAGCCAUUAGUUGUGAAGCGGCAGCCUCCUAAAGCACUCCGGAGUCCGGACCAGUCCUGUAGAUCCAGCACCGCCUCCACGCUCAGAGGAUGAGCUCUUCCUCUUGAGUCUGGUCCCUUACCUGCAGAGGUUGCUACCUCAGAUGAAAAAAAUUGUUACAUUUAAAGUUCACAAAUUAAUUUAUUAAAGCAGCACAGUUGUGCUUAAUGUGGAACCUACAAUGCAGUUUUAAAAAAGAGGCAGCAAUCUCUGCAGGUAAUGAACCAGACUUUCUCUCCUCUCCUUCACUUUGGCUCUCCCCCUUCCAAGCAAGAUCCUUUCUUAUUCCUCUAUGUAAAUAGUUGUAAAGGUUCUUUGUAUAUAUUGAUAUAUUUUGUAUAAAUAAAUGGUCUAUACAGUCACCAAA